rnacentral:rRNA from 1 species
CAGGUGCGGCGCCUAGUCGGCGCACAGCCGGUAGGCGGCCGUGGGGGCUAGAUUAUUCUGACUCGGGCUGGCUCACCUGCUUGGGAUCGAGGAAAAGGAAGGAGGAGAGCGAGCACAAGCAGGCAACCUUCGAAGGGCUCGGCAGCAGGCGUUGGUGGCAGCAGCAAGAGCGCCGGUCUGAGCAGGGGUUCGGUGCUCCUCAACAGGUCCUCCGCGCAGCAGCAGCCGAAGCAGCAGAUGUGGUGGCCUAGCCUCGGCCCUCCAGCGGAGCUACUGCGGGGUAGCGGAAGGUGGAGGUGCCGGUGGCGCUGCGGUAGCGGGCUAAGCGGUGGCAGUCGAGGAUGGGCCGGAGGGGCUCGACGAGAAGGCGAAGCGAUGCAACCUCGGGUCCUCGGUCUGCGGUAGUAGCUGCUGAUGAUGAUGAUGAGCCCUCCACGGAUGAUGAUGCACGUCGGGCGACUGCUGCUGGUCAUCAUUAAAUCCUCCUAGGGUCCGUCCUCCGGACGCGGAGAAAGUUAAACAUAGGGUCAAACACGAUCGGAAGAAUUCCAUUUGAACAAAUUGAAUACAGACAUGAGUCUAUAACAACGAAGGCGACUGAGCAGAUACUAGCUCGAGAACAUAAGCUCGGGAGCUCCGGGGACCGAACAUUAUACUACGAACAUACUGAAUAAAAUAAACAUCUCAACACAACACU